GUCAAAUGAUUGCUUGAUAUCUGCAACAAGUAUUUGCAAUCUGUUGUGAUAGAUACAUCAAGUUGAUUAACAAAAUGAAUUUCUCUCAAAUUUACAAUCUUUUUGCAUUUGUCCUGGUCUUUACCCUGGCCGUAUUUACCACUCAAAUCGAAGCCAAGGGCAAAGGUGGCGGUAAUCGUGGACAUAUUUGGAGAGCAGGAUCUCAUGUAGCUGGAUCGGCUGUUCAAGGUGUUGCAGCCGAGGCAGUACGUCAAGGUUAAAUUGCAUUUUGUAUUUAACAACAUUUUGUGAAAGUAUUCAAAUUUGGGACAUAAAAUUAAAUAAAAUGUCUUGAUUUAAAUAAAA